UAUGGGUAUAGUGUAAGGGAAGCACAUCAGUCUCCAAAACUGAAAGUCAAGGUUCGACUCCUUGUGCCUAUGUC
rnacentral:tRNA from 2 species